AUGCACGACCAUUCAAAAAUACUACCAGGUUUCUAAUGAUACAAAGCUUAAUGCAAAUGGGUGAAGUAUCCCUUUCAGCAACCCAGAAGUCUCCAUUGAAAUCAUCAAAAUUUUGGGAGGCUCUCAGGCUAUAAAAUUGAUUACGCAAAAUCAGAGGCUAUGCUCCUAACGCUUAAUACCAUUUGGACAUCAUAUAGCUCUGCCCCUUUCUGAUGGUCCCCUUCUGGGUUUGUUUAUAUGGGUAUAUAUAAAUUACUCCAUCCCUCUCUUUCUCUAUAAAGCCAACUUUUUGCCUUUAAUCCACAGAAUGAAUAGAUGAUCUGGCAUGCUGGACUUCCUUCACAUUAUCUCUUUUGGGUAGAGUAAAUCUUUUUACUCUACUCUAAAAAUAUUUUUACUCUACUCAGCUGCUUUAUGUUUUUCAAAUGAUCCCAGUUCUUUUGACCGGAAAAUCAAUCCCUUUUUUAAACAGCUCAUUAUCAUCCUUUUUAUGAGAAAAUAAACAAGCUAGAUUAAAACUACAGAAGCUGCAGCACCGACUAGAAGAGGGUGGACUGGCUUUGCCCAAUAUUAGAUACUACCAACUGGCUUGCCUUGGCAGGUAUCUUUGGGAAUGGGUUAGAAAUUACCCGAAAUCUACAUGGCUCAACAUAGAGGCUGCCCCUCUGGACAAAAUUCCUCUUUGUUAUAUUAUGUAUAUUUCUAAAAAAAAUGGGUUUCAGAGAAAGUAAAAGGUAAUUUCCACACUAUGAAAGUAUGGAGAACUAUUAGGAAAAUAGAGGCUCGGGAAGACUGUCUUUCAAGACUUACCCCCAUUUAUCUGAAUCCAGACGUUCCCCCUAGCCUAGUAGAUUGUGCAUUUACAUUUUGGUCAGACAAGGGUAUUGGAACCAUUGGUCUGGUUCAUCUGGGUGUUUGUCCACUAACAAGGUUAAGGUAAUGUAAUUCAAAAUUAUAUACAGGCUUCAAAUUACACCACUGCUACGGAAUAGAUUCAACCCUUCUCUUUCAAAGAAUUGUAAUAAAUGUAAGGUUAUUGAAGGGACAUACUUCCACUGUAUCUUCAAUUGGCCUUUCAUCAAAACGUUUUGGGUAAAUGUUUGUAAAGAAAUGUCUGUAAUGUUUGGUAAAAACUUAGAUCUUAAGCCGGUUUCUUGUAUUAUUGGUUUAUAUUCUGCAAUUAAUAUUAAACCCAACAUGUUGAAACUCCUUGAUGUUCUUUUGUUUGGUGCUAGAAGGUGCAUCUUACUUCAGUGGAUCUCUAACAAACCUGCUCAGCUCUCAAUGUGGUUACGAAGUAUAAUAGAACUCAUACCCCUGGAGGCCAUGACCUACUGGCUCAAGGACAAACCCUCUUCAUUUCAAAAAAUAUGGGACCCUUCUUAACCUAUAUUGGAGUAGAGAAAGCACAGCCUCUGCAAAGAGGCCUAUUUGGACUUAUUUGGAUAGAUAUGUUACGGCUCUGGCUGUGAUCCUAUUUCUGUGUAUCCUUUGUGUCCCCUCCCCCUCUGUCUGUCUGUGUGUGUGUCUCUGGAGGGUGUGGCUGCAAUCAACACCGGGUGACUACUCACACCUGCAGCUCGUCUGCUCAUCUGCCUCAAGUUAAAAACCCUGGGUUCAACUCGACUCAUUGCCAGAUUAUUGUGCCUACUGAAGUGAUUCUCACCGGUGUCAUCUCCUCCAGUCUGCUCUCCUCACAGACAACACAACCACUCAUCCGCCUGCCUACAGAACCAGCUACUCCAUAGUCUCCUCCAUGACGUCAUUACCAGCCAUCCACCUUUCCCAAACCCUGCAAUAAAACCUCAAAUCCUU